UACGUAGGGGGCUAGCGUUGUCCGGAAUCAUUGGGCGUAAAGAGCGUGUAGGCGGCCCGGUAAGUCCGCUGUGAAAGUCGGGGGCUCAACCCUCGAAUGCCGGUGGAUACUGUCGGGCUAGAGUGCGGAAGAGGCGAGUGGAAUUCCUGGUGUAGCGGUGAAAUGCGCAGAUAUCAGGAGGAACACCAAUUGCGAAGGCAGCUCGCUGGGACGUAACUGACGCUGAGACGCGAAAGCCAGGGGAGCGAACAGG
rnacentral:rRNA from 1 species